GAAGUACUUCCAAGCAAGCCAACAAAGGAACAGCCAAUCAGAGCUCAAAUCAGAGGGGAGACAGAGAAACGUGCACACAACCACUGAUAAGAUCCUCCCCGGGACGAGCGCAGGAGAGGGAAGAAAUGCAAGAUCAGACGGCCACAACGACGAGCUCGCCGCCUUCCAGCAGCGACAGGUCGUCCAGCAGCUCCAAGGAAGGGAUGGACAGCGACGACGACAUAGGGAGGGUGCCGGAGUUCGGGCUGUACCAGGGAGGCCCGUCGACCUCGGGAAGGGGGCAGGCGGCGGCCGGGGCUUCGUCGGAGCUCGCGCAGUCGGCGGCCGCUGCGCAGGCCAUUUCCCGCCGCCGCGGCCGUAGCCCGGCCGACAAGGAGCACCGGCGACUCAAAAGGUAUAUAUGUGGUACUCCUACGUGCCACGAUUACAGUGUCGUGUUCGUAGCUCGCCCUAGUAUUGAUCGUAUUCGUACGCUAGUGUUUCCUUUCAAAACGAUACUGUACACUAGUGUAGCCGAGCAAUAGACGGCCGGUGCAGGGCAGCUGGCUCGGCCUUUCACGGUGUAACGUAGUAACUGAAUUGACGAUAAUUUAAUUAAAAAGGUUAAGUUCUGAAGUUCUUCAUGUAGUUUCUUAACAUUUCGGCCGUUUGUAACAAGUUGGUCAAGGCUUACGGAUGCUGGACGCAAUCCUGAGAUUAGCUGAUCCAUAUGACCUGGGGGAAAAGUUGAUUUAUUUUUUUUGCACGCGCGAAAUGGGAGAAAAGUUGAUCAUAAUAUGGAUUGAUUAUGAUCAACCUUUGUCCGAAGACAUAUAUGCGGUGAUUUAUUUUAGACAAUUACUUGUAGAUAAACCAUUAGUUUUAUUUAAUUUUCAUGUCUAUAAUAGUUUGCAUAGAUGAUGAACGAUUUUUCCAUCACACUAGACUCUACAAAAUGUAAGUUCUAGAAAUCAUCAUACAUUUUCAAAAGUAGCUACGCCUUCAAUAGAAUUAAGUACAUCUUUCUAGCUACAUCCUGCACUUUGCAGCCCAGGGUUAUCGAGUGAAAGCUUACCUCAGAUCUGAUCACCAUCUUGGCAACCUUGCUUAGAAUUUGAGAUUAUUCAUUGUUUUAUUGAACAUGAAUAGAUGGUACGCGUGUACACCAUUACACACCUCACGUCGAAUAUAAGAAGGGGUGACUACAAGUCAGUUGAUUUAGAAUCAUAAUUGUUGCUAUUUUCUCCUAUAAACUUGGUCAAUCUUUGCAGCAUUUGAGUUGAGACAAAAGUUUUAAGCCUUCUUUGAGAGACAUAGGGAGUACUUCUCGUUAAUCUACUCUCAAUUGUCCAAUCAAUACAUUCUUAUUCUCUUGCACUUGCAUGAAAUUUUCAAAUCAAACGGUUUUUAGCAGUGACAUAAAAAUACCCACUCUAUACAAUGGACGUAUCAUCAGAAAUACCAAUUAAAAGAGAACUAAAUAAUUCAAAUUACUGAUAAGAGUACAACUAGAAUUUGAAGGUUAGAAGUUUAAGUCAACAUGUUGAUAGUAACUUCAAACUUUUUAGCUCACAUUUUAGUAGGAAGUAAGAGGGUGUUUGUUUACAGGGACUUAUUGGUCUAGGGACUUAAAUAAGUCCCUAUAAGUCCCAUCUAAACCAAACAGGAGGGACUUAUAGGGAAUUCUUAGGCCCAUAUAUCCUUGCCAUGUCCACCAAAUUCUUUAUAUGUAAAUGGCACAAGCAUUGUGCCACCCUGAUGAGCCAAAGUCGGAAGCCAUGAACUUCAAGAUUGCUACAGAUAGGCCAAUGGGCUUGCACACCAAUAUGAUUAAGUCAAAGAUGUUCUAGCUGGAUGUGAUGGUUUGGAUCUCCCCGAUAUCCUUGUCACCAAAGGUUUCCUGUCCACUAUAGGAGGUUCCAAAAGGAUGAUUAUCAUAUUAUCACAUUGGCCAUCUCAUUUGCCAAUUAGUUAGUUCUUUCGAUAACCAUGACUUGCCGUAUGUCAUUUUACUACAAAAAUGGACCUCAUUCAAGCUCGAUUGCCUAUCCUAUUGGUGCAUAUGUAAGUGGAUAACAAUGACAUGAUGGGUCUAUCAUCUCAAGAUCUAGGGAGUUGGUUGUCCCAGCAUAAUGGACAUUGAUCAGUUUUCACACUCAUGGAAGGACCUGCAAGGUACUAAUCGGGCUCGCAGUUACCUUCCGGUGAUACAUACAUCUCUAAUUUUUCUCUUUGAUCGAGAUACACUUGAGGAUCAUGGGGAAAAUGGUGGUGUUGGCCAUGGAAAAGAGGCGAGGAACGGGGCAUUCUGAGGACAUGCUCUAAAGCUCUUCGAGAUUUCCACUAGGCCGUGAGAAUGUAACAUUACAAAAGAAGUUGGUGAAUGGUAAAUCAUAAUAGCUUGUAACAUUGCUCUGUCUAGUUAGAUAGAUUGAAUAUUAACCAACACAGACCAAUUCAUGUAGUCCAUCCAGUGGAUCCUCAUAAUAUUAGUCAACCUGGUGCCAUCAAGCAGUGACUCGAUCAGAUGUUAUUGGUGCACUAAUGUACCACUACUAGGCAAAGUCUACGCAUGCAAUUAAAUUAGUAGAAGACAUCCAAAGUUCCCCACAAAUAAGAUCUAGAAGGCACAGACAAAUCUCAGAAAUUGUGUUAAUGGCUUGUCUUGCAUGUGACAAUCCUUGUAGUUGACAUACUUAUUGACUUUAGUUUGGCCAUGCAACCUAGCUUUGUCGGAUUUUCUUGAGGUAGCCUAAAACGAUCACAUCCAUGAAAAUAUAUGUCUCUAUUAUCGUGUAAUGCAUGAUCACAUAUAUGUCUCUAUUAUCGUGUAAUGCGUGAUCACAUAUGUUCCCAUGUGUUCCCAUGUAAUCAUACUCAAAGUUCUCUUGGACCAUCUCAUUCUCUAUUAUCGUGUAAUGCAUGAUCACAUUGUCUAUUGGUCCCAAAAUAUCACAUCCAUGAAAAAUCACCCUAAAGGCUCUCACAACCUCCUUACUCAAAGGUUUUUGAGCCUUGGAAAAGUGAACUCUCGUGUUUCCUGGAGGGUAUGCAAUUGUGUCCACAAAUGUAGACGAUGAAGGAUAGAUGACAUCUAUAAGUCAGUAGCCCAUAUCAUACUGGUAAUUAACCAUUGACUACACAAUUGCAAGGUAGAGCAUUUCUAGUAGAAAGCCAUGCAAAUGGAAGAGAUCUUUGCGGGGCACUAAGUUCAUUGUGAGAGCCAAGAAUCCCAAAUAGCAAAGCCAAAUUCAUAAAUCAUGUGAUGCAACAGUUCAAGUAUGAUCGUUGGAUCAUGCCAAUGCCAUGCUACCAUACAAUUCUUUCAUCUCCAGUGCAUGCAAUCGAUGCACCCAAACAUCCCCGGGAACCAUGUUGAUGUACCAAUCUCCACGAGCCUUACAAUGCCAUCUGCAUUGGGUGCUCUCAAACACUCAUCUCCAAAGACCUCAAUCACAACUUUGCAAAAUUCCUCACAUUCUUGAUGGUUCCUUCUUCCCCAAAGCACCCAUAUCUAGCAUCAGCUGGGACACCGUAUGCAAUUGCACAUGUUGCUGACGCUAUCUUCUGCAAAGCCCUCGAGCCAAGAUUUUCCUAUUGCAUUCCUCUUAUGCUUGAAGUAAUUAUGGUGUCUUCCACAUAAUUUUCAAUGUGCAAGAAGAUCUCCCCAAGAUACAUUCAGCGCGUAGCUCAAAAGAUAUAUAACCUGCAAAAAGGAAGUACUAGAGCUUUUGAUAAACAAAACAGACAAUCAUUGCUCUUGUUUGUUUGUUUGUUUGUUUGUUAGAAAAUGUGUUCUCUGUCGCAAUAGCUACCGAACGUUCAUCACAUCUUAGCAUGGAGUAUCCAUAUAGACUGAGCAAGAGUAUUUUAUUAUCUAGCUUAACCGUAAGAAAUAAAGGUGUGCUAACUCUUAUUUACCCUUAACAACUAUGUGGUCUCGCUACAAUCUAAUCAAUCUAGAUUGUUGAGGAACCGGGUGUCGGCGCAACAGGCACGGGAGAGGAAGAAGGCGUACAUGGGCGAGCUGGAGGCGAAGGUGAAGGACUUGGAGACAAGAAACUCAGAGCUCGAGGAGAGGCUCUCCACGCUGCAGAACGAGAACCAAAUGCUUAGACAGAUACUGAAAAACACCACCGGUAACAGGAGAGGACCGGGUGGCAGUGGCGGUGCCGGCGGGGAUAGCUAGAGCCAAUAGUACCGCCGUGCCCGUGUGACGUCUGAGUGCUACGUACGUACUUAAUUGUGAAAUGUAAUAAGGAAGUUGCUGAAAUGGUGACAGUUCCUGUGAUUAGCUUAGUGUGUUGUUUAAUUAGAUGGACAUAAUUAAAGCGCCUAAAAGAUAUACUACGCCUAUGCAAUAUACUAUGCAUUUUAGACUGAAAUUGCUUAGUCUCAAAUGAGCGAGGGGAGCCGGCCGGCACCAUAUAAUGUACUGUGAAGGACCGGUCCCUGCCGCAUGUACACACGUCAGACUUGUAUGUAUUGAUGAAGGUUGAGUAUUGUAUGUACUGAUGUAUGCACACAUGUAUGUAAACUGUGUACCAUGCUCCCACUAGUAGGGAUGCGAAUUGUUCAAGGUGCAAAUGCAACUGAUUUAAGUUUCUUGU
rnacentral:rRNA from 1 species